GGGCGGACCGUAGGUCGGACUGGCUGGGGAUGAGUGGGCCUGAGGGUCCGUUCCGGUGGGCGGAGGGUCCGUUCCGGUGGGCGGCCCGGUCGGGGCCGAACUGGCCUGAGAGUCCGCUUCAGAGGGUGACCUGGAGGCGGGACCGGCCGAAGCUGGACUCGCCAGAGGGUCCACCUCCGAGGACAGCCUGGGGGCCGGACAGACAGAGGCAGGUAGGACAGGGACCGGAUGGACCGGGUCUUGACAGACUGGGACCGGACAGACAGACAGGGCCGCUCCGGCGGACGGCCCGGGGGCCGGACAGGACAGAGGGGCCGCUCCGGCGGACGGCCCGGGGGCCGGACAGACAACUGGGUUGGGAGCCGGGUCCGGUGGGUCCUCCGGGGGCGGAGCCGGGUCCGGUGGGUCCU